rnacentral:rRNA from 1 species
AAUGAGUACAAUUUAAAUCCCUGUAACGAGGAACAAUUGGAGGGCAAGUCUGGUGCCAGCAGCCGCGGUAAUUCCAGCUCCAAUAGCGUAUAUUAAAGUUGUUGCAGUUAAAAAGCUCGUAGUUGAAACUUGGGUCUGGCUGACCGGUCCGCCUCACCGCGUGCACUGGCUCGGCCGGGCCUUUCCUUCUGGGGAGCCGCAUGCCCUUCAGUGGGUGUGCUGGGGAACCAGGACUUUUACUUUGAAAAAAUUAGAGUGUUCAAAGCAGGCAUAUGCUCGAAUACAUUAGCAUGGAAUAAUAGAAUAGGACGUGUGGUCCUAUUUUGUUGGUUUCUAGGACCGCCGUAAUGAUUAAUAGGGAUAGUCGGGGGCGUCUGUAUUUUUGAGCAAGAGGUGAAAUUCUUGGAUUUCAAAAAGACAAACUACUGCGAAAGCAUUCGCCAAGGAUGUUUUCAUUAAUCAGUGAACGAAAGUUAGGGGAUCGAAGACGAUCAGAUACCGUCGUAGUCUUAACCAUAAACUAUGCCGACUAGGGAUCGGACGGUGUUAUUAUUUUGACCCGUUCGGCACCUUACGAGAAAUCAAAGUUUUUGGGUUCUGGGGGGAGUAUGGUCGCAAGGCUGAAACUUAAAGACAUUGACGGAAGGGCACCACCAGGAGUGGAGCCUGCGGCUUAAUUUGACUCAACACGGGGAAACUCACCAGGUCCAGACAAAAUAAGGAUUGACAGAUUGAGAGCUCUUUCUUGAUUUUUUGGGUGGGUGGUGCAUGGCCGUUCUUAGUUGGGUGGAGUGAUUUGUCUGCUUAAUUGCGAUAACGAACGAGACCUUAACCUGCUAAAUAGCCCGGUCAGCUUUGGCUGGCCGCUGGCUUCUUAGAGGGACUAUCGGCUCAAGCCGAUGGAAGUUUGAGGCAAUAACAGGUCUAGAUGUUCUGGGCCGCACGGCGCGCUACACUGACAGAGACAACGAGUUCAUCUCCUUGGCCGGAAGGUCUGGGUAAUCUUGUUAAACUCUGUCGUGCUGGGGAUAGAGCAUUGCAAUUAUUGCUCUUCAACGAGGAAUGCCUAGUAAGCGCAAGUCAUCAGCUUGCGUUGAUUACGUCCCUGCCCUUUGUACACACCGCCCGUCGCUACUACCGAUUGAAUGGCUCAGUGAGGCCUUCGGACUGGCCCAGACGGGGCGGCAACGCUCUAUCAGGGCCGGAAAGUUGGUCAAACUUGGUCAUUUAGAGGAAGUAAAAGUCGUAACAAGGUUUCCGUAGGUGUUUGCGGAACCUGCGGAAGGAUCAUUA